rnacentral:snRNA from 1 species
ACCAAGACAUAGAAGCAACCCAAGUUGCUAAUUGAAAAUUUUUGCCAAUACCCCACCACGAUGACUUGAAAUGUUGUCGUCAUUGGCAAUUUCUGACAGUCUCUACAGAGA